GCCGGGGUGGCGAAACUGGUAGACGCAUCGGACUUAAAAUCCGAAGGCGGCCUCUAGGCCCCGUGCCGGUUCGACUCCGGCCCCCGGCACCA
rnacentral:tRNA from 1 species